rnacentral:rRNA from 1 species
GAUUCAGAUUAGCUAGUUGGUGGGGUAUAGCCUACCAAGGCGACGUAUCUGUAGCGGGUCUGAGAGGAUGAUCCGCCACACUGGAACUGAGACACGGUCCAGACUCCUACGGGAGGCAGCAGUGGGGAAUUUUGGACAAUGGGGGCAACCCUGAUCCAGCCAUGCCGCGUGAGUGAAGAAGGCCUUCGGGUUGUAAAGCUCUUUCAGCCGGGAAGAAAUCGUACAGGCUAAUACCCUGUGCGGAUGACGGUACCGGAAUAAGAAGCACCGGCUAACUACGUGCCAGCAGCCGCGGUAAUACGUAGGGUGCGAGCGUUAAUCGGAAUUACUGGGCGUAAAGCGUGCGCAGGCGGUUUUGUAAGACAGGCGUGAAAUCCCCGGGCUUAACCUGGGAACU